UAUUGGAAAGAUUGUUGCACACAACUAUAUAUAUAUAUAUAUAUAUAUAUAUUAACUAUAAAUAAAAUUUACAAAAGAUAAAAGCAAAUAUAUAAAAGGGAUUUAAUCUGUAGUUAUUAUAAAGCUAUAUUUUUUUUCUAUAAAUAGUCAAUAUUUAAAUUAUUGUUGAAAAUCAAAAUCAAAGUUUUAAAUUGCAGGUCUAUCAAAAUCAUAUUUUGGUUUCCUUGUCUCUGAGCCUCAGGUUUCAUUUUGAUGAUAUUGGUGAGAUAUGUGAUGUUCUUGAGUUUGGUGAGAGGUGUGCUUAUAUAAGGGCAAGAUUAUCGGUGUCCUUAGAGGCAUAUCUUAGCAAUUAAACACUCAUAAUUAAAUGAAAAAUAGCCAAUAAGAAUAAGGACGCCUCUUAAUUAAGAAGUUUUCUAUGUUGUCCUUACGAGCCACCUGUCUCACAGGAGGGAGUUUUACCUUCUUCUCUCCACAUCUCUCUCGAGACAGAAAUUGAUCGAUUUUUUUCUUCACCAAUUGUAGAUCCCUCUGUUUCCCUCGUAGAUCUUCUCCUCUCUCUGUUUUCCUCGCUUGAGACCGGUGGUGUUCGAUUUGAAGGACUUUGGAGGUGUCGGCAAUGGGGUCACGGACUCACGGUUGACACCGAGGCGUUUGAGAGAGCGGUGGUGGAGAUUUGCAGCGUAACGCAUUGGCUGGCUUGCCUGAGAUUCUUGUCACCACACCUGCUUGUAUUCCUAAGUGUUUUGCAGAUGGGGUUUUAGAUCCCGCAGCUAUCAGUGAAUCGCUUGAGAUUUUGGUUCUUGAUGAGAUAAUCAAGUAGUAUAACUGUCUUGAACGGUGGAAACAUGUUUGAAAAAUGUUGUCUUGAGAAGUUGUCUUGAGAAGUUGUCUUGAACGGUGGAAACAUGUUUGAAAAAUGUCAGUUCUGAUGUUGAGAAAUUGAAGAAAUUGAUUCUGCACAACCCGGUAGUCUUGACCUUGCAAGAAGGUUCUGACAAGGAAGAGCCCGUCCCAAGUAAUGUGCAGCAGUUUUGGAUUUCUUGCAGUACUCAGGAUAAACUACUACACAUUCUUGCUCUCCUGAAGCUAGAGGUUGUUCAGAAGAAAGUUCUGAUAUUCAUCAAUACUAUUGACAUGGGUUUCAACGGCCAUUGACACCGGUGAAAAGUGAUUGGACUCUCUUGCAACACACAGGUAUUGAGAGCAUCCGUGUCACGUACUCACGGAUUUCUUCUUAUUUCACCAAACGUUCCAUGUUAAGUUCUUUCUUCUUUCUUCUAUCUCAAGUUUUUUAUCUAAACACAAGAUCAAACGAUUCAAAUUAUUUAUCUAAACACAAGUUCUAGCUCAAACUCUUUCUUCCAUCUCAAGUCUUAUAAAACAAGAAAAAUCCUACCAAUAAUCUUUAAUUUAUGGAUUGUCCUUAGCUUUGUCUUUUAAUAUAAAAGUAAUAAUAAAAUAUGUUAAGGACUUAAAAAUUGUCCUACCAAUAAUGUUGCCCUUAGGAUGGUGUUAAGCUGUUAAGAUAAUAGUAUCUUUUAGUUAAAUAUGCUUUUCAGGUCCGUGAAUUACAUGUCAAAAGCGAUAAUAUGAAUGAGAAUAUAACUGAUCUGUUGGCAUACGAUGGCAUAUUCUAUAAAUAUGCUAUACAUUUCCGUGAAUUAUACGAUGGCAUAAGGCUGUUAUACGAUGGCAUAAUAUUCGAUAAUAAGGUUUGUUAUAUAAGGUUUGUUAUAACAAAUAGGGUUAGACCAAAACAUAAAAAAGUAAAGGGUCCAAACAACUUGUAUAAGUAGAUUUAUGUAGACUGCUUCCCUUUUAAUAGAACAGAUUUUUGUCAGCAUGUUAAUAAUACUAUUUCCGUUCCACAAAUAAUGAUGUUUUAGAAAAAAACUGUUUGAUAAAAAUAGAUAUUUUAUGUUUUUAAUGUAUAAACUGUAAAAUUUUAAAAAGUUCAUUAAAUUAUCAUUGAAAAUGAUAAUUUCAAAAAUGAUACUUUAGAAUCGUAAUUUAAUGUAUUUUUAGUAUGUGAAAAAUCUAUUUUAAGGAACAUAGGUAGUAAGUAUAUAAAUCAUGAGUCAUCGCUUAAAAUGGAAAAUUGGUACGCAUUAUAAUUAAAAUAAAUAAGAAUUUUGAUCUCUCAAUAAUUGUGAACAGAUGGGAAAGGUAUCCCUUAGUCUAUGUUUGCGAAAUGAAUUUGCCACAUGUCCUUUCUACAAUCAAUUUCAUAAAACAAAUAUGACGUA